rnacentral:lncRNA from 10 species
GAGACAUCCUCAAUUACUUGGAGAGCUAUCAUGAGUGAGGGGUGUUGUUCUCAGUGGUUCUAAGGGUCAGAGUUGAGGCCACUCAGUGAGGCUCAUGGUGGUGUGUCUGUUCCUAAGAAAAGUAUUUCCAAAGGGAGAGCACUGGCAUGACAUGAAGUGAUGAAAACGGUGCAGCAAAAGUACAGUGAGGAAGGAAGGAAGGAAGGAAGGUGAGGAAGGAAAGAAGGAAGUAUGGUGAGGAAGGAAGGAAGGAAGGUGAGAAAGGAAGGACGGCGAGGAAGGAAGGACAGUGAGGAAGGAAGGACGGCAAGGAAGGAUGGAUGGAUGGCAAGGAAGGAAGGAAGGAAGUACGGCAAGGAUGCUGCAGGAGGGAGCGCUGCUGCUAGGGGAAUGCUGGUCCCGACUUCUAGCUCCCUUCCAACUCCCUAGAAUGCAAGGAUCAACAGCGAAGGAUCAUGUGUGGGGAUAUUCUCUCCCUCCUUUCCUUCCUUUCUUCCUUCCUUCCCUCCCUCCCUCCUUCCUUCCCUUCCUCCUUUCUUCCUUCCUUCCCUCCUUUCCUUCCUCCCCUUCUUCCUUCUUUCCUUCCCUUUUUCCUUCCUUCCUUUCUUCCUUCCUCUCCUUCUUCCUUCCUUCCCUUCGCCCUUCCUUUCUUCCUCCUUCCUUUCUUCCUUCCUUCCCUCUCUCCUUCCUUUCUUCCUUCUUUCCCUCCCUCCUUCCUUUCUUCCUUCUUUCCCUCCCUCCUUCCUUUCUUCCUUCUUUCCUUCCUUCCUUCCUCCUUUCCUUCCUUCCUCCCUCCCCUUCUUCCUUCUUCCUUCCCUCCCUCCUUCCUUCCUUCCCUCCCUCCUUCCUUCCCUCCCUCCUUCCUUCCCUCCCUCCUUCCUUCCUUCCCUCCCUC